AAAGCUCUUUUGUCAGGGAAGAAACGGGAUUGGCUAAUAUCCGAUCCUAAUGACGGUACCUGAAGAAUAAGCACCGGCUAACUACGUGCCAGCAGCCGCGGUAAUACGUAGGGUGCAAGCGUUAAUCGGAAUUACUGGGCGUAAAGCGUGCGCAGGCGGUUUUGUAAGUCUGACGUGAAAGCCCCGGGCUCAACCUGGGAAUUGCGUUGGAGACUGCAAGGCUUGAAUCUGGCAGAGGGGGGUAGAAUUCCACGUGUAGCAGUGAAAUGCGUAGAGAUGUGGAGGAACACCGAUGGCGAAGGCAGCCCCCUGGGUCAAGAUUGACGCUCAUGCACGAAAGCGUGGGGAGCAAACAGGAUUAGAUACCCUGGUAGUCCACGCCCUAAACGAUGUCUACUAGUUGUCGGGUCUUAAUUGACUUGGUAACGCAGCUAACGCGUGAAGUAGACCGCCUGGGGAGUACGGUCGCAAGAUUAAAACUCAAAGGAAUUGACGG
rnacentral:rRNA from 1 species